AACGGUGGAACGUUUAUACAUUGGAGAAGUCAAAUUCAUUUUAGCGAAUCGGUUCAUUUGAACUUAUAUGUUAAUGAAGUGAUUUAUUAAAACGGUCGCCGCUGAAUCGUACGUCAAUGUUAUCGCCAUAUUAGACAGGGCAAAACCGUCUAUUUUGUUUCUAUAAAAUUUAAAUACAUAUUUAUACAUUCAUUAUUGAUAAACAAUACGCAUUAUUAUUAAGAACGAGUCUAUAAUUAAAAAUAUUUAUUUUUAUUUGAUACUUAUUUCAUAGCAGGGAUUGUGUCUUUGUUUAAAGACCAAAGGCGGUAAAAAACAUUUUCUCUAAAUUUCUCAGUUAUGACACAGCUGUCAAGCAGAUUUCAAAACUUGUUGGAGGUUUUCUCCUGCUCAGCCUUGUGCAAGGGCAAGUCAACAACACAAAAAUGCUAUACAUCACAGAUGGACUUACAUGAAUCUCAGUUAUGUACCAUGCAAGGGUUUUUCAAAUAUUAUGAUGCCAAAGGACCCCCAAAUAUGAUUAACUUUUGCGAGUGA